rnacentral:tRNA from 1 species
GGGGAUAUAGCUCAGUUGGUAGAAUGUUUGCCUUGCAUGCACAAGGCUCUGGGUCCAAUUCCCAGCACCCCCC